ACUGCUGGGGCCGCGUCUCCAGAGUGGACCUUACCGCGCCCCCUCGAAAAUUCCCGAACUCUCUGAGUGUGGACACUUUUUGCCUCACCCAGAACAGGAAAACUGGUACAUCCAGACUCUAGGAGUCGGGGUCCUCUGGCUUUUUAAGAGUGGGCACCGCGGCCGCGCAAGCACCGGAAAUAGGAUUCUGAGGGGCAGAUUUGUAGAGGAACUCUCCCAGCACACCAGGAGAUGAAGGCGGGUUGCAGUAUUCACUCAUGUCUCCACUCUGGAAUAAAAGGACGACUCCCAAGGAAACAGUAAAGUAUCUGGUUUUUCUUAAUUAUAUAUAUUUUCCUAGUGAUUUUUUUACCUCUAUUUCAAAUACUUCCUCAUUUCCUUAAGAAGCCUAUCAUUUUUCUCUUCUAUCACAUUGGAUUUUCUUACAAAUGUUAGUUUUAAAUCCUUUUUCUGGAGUUUCCUCGAUUUCUUUCAUCUAGUAUCUAUUCU